UAGGGAAUCUUCCACAAUGGACGCAAGUCUGAUGGAGCAACGCCGCGUGAGUGAAGAAGGUUUUCGGAUCGUAAAGCUCUGUUGUUGGUGAAGAAGGAUAGAGGCAGUAACUGGUCUUUAUUUGACGGUAAUCAACCAGAAAGUCACGGCUAACUACGUGCCAGCAGCCGCGGUAAUACGUAGGUGGCAAGCGUUGUCCGGAUUUAUCGGGCGUAAAGCGAGCGCAGGCGGAAUGAUAAGUCUGAUGUGAAAGCCCACGGCUCAACCGUGGAACUGCAUCGGAAACUGGCAAUCUUGAGUGCAGAAGAGGAGAGUGGAAUUCCAUGUGUAGCGGUGGAAUGCGUAGAUAUAUGGAAGAACACCAGUGGCGAAGGCGGCUCUCUGGUCUGCAACUGACGCUGAGGCUCGAAAGCAUGGGUAGCGAACAGG
rnacentral:rRNA from 1 species